UACGGAGGGGGCUAGCGUUGUUCGGAAUUACUGGGCGUAAAGCGCACGUAGGCGGCUUUGUAAGUUAGAGGUGAAAGCCCGGAGCUCAACUUCGGAAUUGCCUUUAAGACUGCAUCGCUUGAAUCAUGGAGAGGUCAGUGGAAUUCCGAGUGUAGAGGUGAAAUUCGUAGAUAUUCGGAGGAACACCAAUGGCGAAGGCAAUCCCCUGGGUCAAGAUUGACGCUCAUGCACGAAAGCGUGGGGAGCAAACAGG
rnacentral:rRNA from 1 species